rnacentral:rRNA from 1 species
GUAAUAAUCCUGUAGUCGAAAAUGUUGUCUCUCUUGAGUGGAUCCUGAGUACGACGGAGCACGUGAAAUUCCGUCGGAAUCUGGGAGGACCAUCUCCUAAGGCUAAAUACUCUCUAGUGACCGAUAGUGAACCAGUACCGUGAGGGAAAGGUGAAAAGCACCCCGGAAGGGGAGUGAAAUAGAACCUGAAACCGUGUGCUUACAAGUAGUCAGAGCCCGUUAAUGGGUGAUGGCGUGCCUUUUGUAGAAUGAACCGGCGAGUUACGAUUUGAUGCAAGGUUAAGCAGUAAAUGUGGAGCCGUAGCGAAAGCGAGUCUGAAUAGGGCGUUUAGUAUUUGGUCGUAGACCCGAAACCAGGUGAUCUACCCUUGGUCAGGUUGAAGUUCAGGUAACACUGAAUGGAGGACCGAACCGACUUACGUUGAAAAGUGAGCGGAUGAACUGAGGGUAGCGGAGAAAUUCCAAUCGAACCUGGAGAUAGCUGGUUCUCUCCGAAAUAGCUUUAGGGCUAGCCUCAAGUGAUGAUUAUUGGAGGUAGAGCACUGUUUGGACGAGGGGCCCCUCUCGGGUUACCGAAUUCAGACAAACUCCGAAUGCCAAUUAAUUUAACUUGGGAGUCAGAACAUGGGUGAUAAGGUCCGUGUUCGAAAGGGAAACAGCCCAGACCACCAGCUAAGGUCCCAAAAUAUAUGUUAAGUGGAAAAGGAUGUGGCGUUGCCCAGACAACUAGGAUGUUGGCUUAGAAGCAGCCAUCAUUUAAAGAGUGCGUAAUAGCUCACUAGUCGAGUGACACUGCGCCGAAAAUGUACCGGGGCUAAACAUAUUACCGAAGCUGUGGAUUGUCCUUUGGACAAUGGUAGGAGAGCGUUCUAAGGGCGUUGAAGCAUGAUCGUAAGGACAUGUGGAGCGCUUAGAAGUGAGAAUGCCGGUGUGAGUAGCGAAAGACGGGUGAGAAUCCCGUCCACCGAUUGACUAAGGUUUCCAGAGGAAGGCUCGUCCGCUCUGGGUUAGUCGGGUCCUAAGCUGAGGCCGACAGGCGUAGGCGAUGGAUAACAGGUUGAUAUUCCUGUACCACCUAUAAUCGUUUUAAUCGAUGGGGGGACGCAGUAGGAUAGGCGAAGCGUGCGAUUGGAUUGCACGUCUAAGCAGUAAGGCUGAGUAUUAGGCAAAUCCGGUACUCGUUAAGGCUGAGCUGUGAUGGGGAGAAGACAUUGUGUCUUCGAGUCGUUGAUUUCACACUGCCGAGAAAAGCCUCUAGAUAGAAAAUAGGUGCCCGUACCGCAAACCGACACAGGUAGUCAAGAUGAGAAUUCUAAGGUGAGCGAGCGAACUCUCGUUAAGGAACUCGGCAAAAUGACCCCGUAACUUCGGGAGAAGGGGUGCUCUUUAGGGUUAACGCCCAGAAGAGCCGCAGUGAAUAGGCCCAAGCGACUGUUUAUCAAAAACACAGGUCUCUGCUAAACCGUAAGGUGAUGUAUAGGGGCUGACGCCUGCCCGGUGCUGGAAGGUUAAGAGGAGUGGUUAGCUUCUGCGAAGCUACGAAUCGAAGCCCCAGUAAACGGCGGCCGUAACUAUAACGGUCCUAAGGUAGCGAAAUUCCUUGUCGGGUAAGUUCCGACCCGCACGAAAGGCGUAACGAUUUGGGCACUGUCUCAACGAGAGACUCGGUGAAAUCAUAGUACCUGUGAAGAUGCAGGUUACCCGCGACAGGACGGAAAGACCCCGUGGAGCUUUACUGUAGCCUGAUAUUGAAAUUCGGCACAGCUUGUACAGGAUAGGU